rnacentral:tRNA from 1 species
AGCCUUGAGGUGUUUACAUAUUGGAUUGCAAACCCAAAGUUGCCGAUUAGUCUCGGCCGGGGCUU